GAAAAAUACUCGGCGCAGCUGCUGCGGCCUUGGGUCAUCUCACCUCCAUCUACCCCGCGUGCUCGCUUUCGCUUGGGGUGGAAAGCGGGGUUCAGGGGCUCUUUUCAGCGGACUGAGAAAUCGCAGAGGCCGUGGGGACCCCAAGUCAGGAUUCCCCUUUCCCGACAUCAGGGGUAAAGGGAGCGGGGGUCCCUUCGCUUCACUGUGCCCCAGCUCUACCGAGAGGCAGGCCUCUGGGAAACGAGCCGGGGACCUGGGGGCCCGGGCGGCCGCAGCUUAGUGGGCUGAGGUGCCGAUCAGGGUCACGCUUCGGAGCUCUGUCGGGGCCCAGCUCCCUCCUUCACACCCCAAAAUGCCGCCUAGGGCGUGGGCAUCCCGAGUGGCAUCCGGAGCCGCUGAGACCCCGCCGAGAUUGCUCCUUGUGCGUCCUCCCACAGCCGAGAGGCCAGCAUCGUGCCGGGACGACCCGGGGACCCGAGUCCGGGCGCCGCUACACCGCCUCGGGCGCUAGGCCUGGGAGCUUUGAGGCCGGUACCGUGAAACACCUUUAGGAGCAAGGAGGGAUUCCAGGUGUCCUCCCUUUGUACCCCAACUCCCUGCCCGGAUCUCUUCCACUCUCUGCCAUAGCCCCCACACACAAACUUUGUUCUGGACUUGUUCAGCCCCUUCGGGACCCACAGUUGUCGCCUCCAUCGGAGAAAACAAGUGCCCCUGUUUCAGGGGGGAUUCCACUCUGGCUGGCCACCCGCAAACCUGGAAAACUAUUCUAUGACUUCUUCCCUGACCCCCCUGGAAGUAGGGAGCACCACGAUCCGCAGAGGGCGCAUACCGACCAGAAAGAUUUUGGGGGGCAGAGGGUGCAAGUGUUGUGGGAAGAGAUGCGGAGAUAAAUUUUGCGAGCCAGACCCCGACACUUUCCCCGUCCGUUUGCACCGUCUCCGGAACAACUGGCGGCCAGCAGCACUCUCCACCCCGGCCGCAACCCCAGCGGGUCAGGCGCUGGCGCCCCGACACCAGUCCCCAUCUUCUUGCAGCUCUGAACCUCCAAAGACACCCGGUUCUGCCUCGCAGGCCGAGGGGGAGUGUGCGUGGGGGCAGGGGGGCGCAGCGAACUCCCCCACGCUCGGAGUUCAGCCCAGCGCCCGAAGUAAACUUCCUUACCGCUGGCAGCAAGGCCGGGCGGCGGAGGCCGGGCCGGGUGCCCUGGGGCCGGCGCCGGGAGCGCUAGGGGCCCCGUGCGGUCAGGCCGGGGCGACCUCCACCCG
rnacentral:lncRNA from 1 species